rnacentral:lncRNA from 1 species
AUGAGUCGUGCCUCGUAUUCGUGUUUCCCAGCACAUUGUUUUACAUGUAGACUCCUCUUCUUGAAAUCUCAUGCACACUGCAUUUCCUACAGACAGCCCAAGGAAGACUCCUGCUUUCCCAGAGGCCGUACUACAGGGUUUGGCAUCUCCUGGAAGGCCGGGAAACCUUUUGGAGGCUUUACUUUUGAUGGAGCAUUGGAAUACAAUGCUUGGAAAAGAAAGCAAACCAUCUUCUGUCAUGAGAUCAAGGAGGGGACUGCUGGUCACCAUCUUUUGCCCCUACCGACAAUGCAUUAUGCUCAGCUCCUCCGUUUUCCGUUGCUGCUAUAGGACUGGCUGGAGCAGUUGACAGAUGUUUAGAGGAUUUCUUGUCUCUGGACCAGCGCUUCAUCUGUUCCAAGUUAUUCAAAACACAAACAGGGGGUUGGCAGGAGUGAAACCUGCUCAGAACUGCGACGUCAAAACAGAAAUAUAUUUUUAAAAAGACAAGUGUCAAAAAAACAAGUGUUUGUGCGGUUUAUAGCAAGAUGUAUUUAAAUGGUUGAGAUUUUCUUCUUUUAACCCCUUGUACUCCCACCUGAAAUGACAUUCUUCAAUACCUACAGCAGUUUUCCUGCUUAAAUGUACUAGCUAAUAACAUAAUUUGGGACUAUCUUGUCAAGUGUACUGUUGUAAAGCUGUAGUGUGAUCCUGCAAAUGCCAUGAGCAAUACUGUUGAACAGAGUGGUGGAGGGGGCAUUUAGUGAGAAAUAAAAAAACAGAGAGGGGUGAGGGAGAGAUAGGG